rnacentral:rRNA from 1 species
CAGUAGCCGCGGGAAUACGUAGGGUGCAAGCGUUAAUCGGAAUUACUGGGCGUAAAGCGUGCGCAGGCGGUUCUAUAAGACAGAUGUGAAAUCCCCGGGCUCAACCUGGGAACUGCAUUUGUGACUGUAGAGCUGGAGUGCGGCAGAGGGGGAUGGGAUUCCGCGUGUAGCAGUGAAAUGCGUAGAUAUGCGGAGGAACACCGAUGGCGAAGGCAAUCCCCUGGGCCUGCACUGACGCUCAUGCACGAAAGCGUGGGGAGCAAACAGGAUUAGAUACCCCUGUAGUCCCUGUCUCUUAUAC